GCCUCUGUGGCGCAGUAGCAGCGCGUCAGUCUCAUAAUCUGAAGGUCGUGAGGGCGGAACUCACCAGGGGCA